CGCUUAACACAUGCAAGUCGAACGGGAUCUUCGGAUCUAGUGGCAGACGGGUGAGUAACGCGUGGGAACCUGCCCAGUAGUAGAGAAUAACUUGAGGAAACUUAAGCUAAUACUUUAUACACCCUCCGGGGAAAAGCUUUAUGCGCUAUUGGAUGGGCCCGCGUUAGAUUAGUUUGUUGGUGAGGUAAUGGCUCACCAAGACUACGAUCUAUAGCUGGUCUGAGAGGAUGAUCAGCCACACUGGGACUGAGACACGGCCCAGACUCCUACGGGAGGCAGCAGUGGGGAAUAUUGGACAAUGGGGGCAACCCUGAUCCAGCGAUGCCGCGUGAGUGAUGAAGGCCUUCGGGUUGUAAAACUCUUUCGUCAGGGAAGAUAAUGACGGUACCUGAAGAAGAAGAUCCGGCUAACUCCGUGCCAGCAGCCGCGGUAAUACGGAGGGAUCUAGCGUUAUUCGGAAUUACUGGGCGUAAAGCGAGCGUAGGCGGAUUUGUAAGUUGGAGGUGAAAUCCCAGAGCUUAACUCUGGAACUGCCUUCAAAACUACAUUUCUUGAGUUUGGUAGAGGAGAGUGGAAUUCCUAGUGUAGAGGUGAAAUUCGUAGAUAUUAGGAGGAACACCAGUGGCGAAGGCGACUCUCUGGGCCAAUACUGACGCUGAGGUUCGAAAGCAUGGGUAGCGAACAGGAUUAGAUACCCUGGUAGUCCAUGCAGUAAACGAUGAGUGCUAGAUGUUGGGAAUUUAAAUUUCCAGUAUCGCAGUUAACGCGUUAAGCACUCCGCCU
rnacentral:rRNA from 1 species